AUGCACCCUGUGUGCACUGCGGUUCCUGUGUGCCGUCCACGCCCGCCUGAUGAUUGCGCGCUACGUUGGUAGCC
rnacentral:sRNA from 1 species